UACAGAGGUGGCAAGCGUUGUUCGGAAUUACUGGGCGUAAAGGGCGCGUAGGCGGUCUUCUAAGUCUUGUGUGAAAUCCCUCGGCUCAACUGAGGAACUGCACGGGAUACUGGAAGACUUGAGUUCGGGAGAGGGAAGCGGAAUUCCGGGUGUAGCGGUGAAAUGCGCAGAUAUCAGGAGGAACACCAAUUGCGAAGGCAGCUCGCUGGGACGUAACUGACGCUGAGACGCGAAAGCGUGGGGAGCAAACAGG
rnacentral:rRNA from 1 species